rnacentral:rRNA from 1 species
UACGAAGGGGGCUAGCGUUGCUCGGAAUGACUGGGCGUAAAGGGCGCGUAGGCGGUUCGUACAGUCAGACGUGAAAUUCCCGGGCUCAACCUGGGGGCUGCGUUUGAUACCUGCGGGCUUGAGUUCGGAAGAGGGUCGUGGAAUUCCCAGUGUAGAGGUGAAAUUCGUAGAUAUUGGGAAGAACACCGGUGGCGAAGGCGGCGACCUGGUCCGAUACUGACGCUGAGGCGCGAAAGCGUGGGGAGCAAACAGG